rnacentral:rRNA from 1 species
AUUAAGUUCCCCGCCUGGGGAGUACGGCCGCAAGGCUAAAACUCAAAGGAAUUGACGGGGACCCGCACAAGCGGCGGAGCAUGCGGAUUAAUUCGAUGCAACGCGAAGAACCUUACCAAGGCUUGACAUACACCAGAACACCGUAGAAAUACGGGACUCUUUGGACACUGGUGAACAGGUGGUGCAUGGUUGUCGUCAGCUCGUGUCGUGAGAUGUUGGGUUAAGUCCCGCAACGAGCGCAACCCUCGUUCUGUGUUGCCAGCACGUUAUGGUGGGAACUCAUGGGAUACUGCCGGGGUCAACUCGGAGGAAGGUGGGGAUGACGUCAAAUCAUCAUGCCCCUUAUGUCUUGGGCUUCACGCAUGCUACAAUGGCCGGUACAAAGGGCUGCAAUACCGUGAGGUGGAGCGAAUCCCAAAAAGCCGGUCCCAGUUCGGAUUGAGGUCUGCAACUCGACCUCAUGAAGUCGGAGUCGCUAGUAUCGCAGAUCAGCACG